rnacentral:snoRNA from 1 species
AAGACUGUACUUUUACAGGAUCAUUUCUAUAGUAAUUACUUACUAUAUGCGUCUUCUAAGAAGACAACAACUCAAUCUAGGAUGAUUAAGAGGACACUCUUAUCCGUAAUGGGACAUAGAAAUCACUAGUAUUUUAUUCUUAUAACUAAGAGUAAAUUACUUUUGCAUUUCACGAUGAUCGUCCACACUGUAUUCAACUGAUAGUUUUAUACUUGAAGUUACCAGUGGUUGGAGGGUAGGAGUGCUUCUGACUAGAU